GGCUGGCGGCGUGCCUAAUACAUGCAAGUCGAGCGGAAUGAUGAAGAAGCUUGCUUCUUCUGAUUUUAGCGGCGGACGGGUGAGUAACACGUGGGCAACCUACCUUGUAGAUUGGGAUAACUCCGGGAAACCGGGGCUAAUCCGAAUAAUCCAUUUUGCUUCAUGGCGAGAUGUUGAAAGACGGUUUCGGCUGUCACUACAAGAUGGGCCCGCGGCGCAUUAGCUAGUUGGUAGGGUAAUGGCCUACCAAGGCGACGAUGCGUAGCCGACCUGAGAGGGUGAUCGGCCACACUGGGACUGAGACACGGCCCAGACUCCUACGGGAGGCAGCAGUAGGGAAUCUUCCACAAUGGACGAAAGUCUGAUGGAGCAACGCCGCGUGAGUGAAGAAGGUUUUCGGAUCGUAAAACUCUGUUGUAAGGGAAGAACACGUACGAGAGUAACUGCUCGUACCUUGACGGUACCUUAUUAGAAAGCCACGGCUAACUACGUG
rnacentral:rRNA from 1 species